AGAAUUGCCCAGGAGCUUUCAGAAAAAGAAAUUCGGAAAUUUCCUUAAUACGCCAGGACCCAGUGGCGGCGUCUUUGACAGCCAGUGAAACAGACAAUGAGGGAUUCGGGUGGUCCUUGUCUGGUCUUCUUGGUGCCCUACACAGAUUACAUCAUAAUCCAUUCUCCUAUAAUGAGGACGCCAUUUGAUGAUGGCACAUUUUUUCACCAUUGACAAGAUAGACCAUUCCUCACUGAAAAUUCCUAAAUUUGAAAAUUUUAAAACUGUUAACGUUUAUUCAGAAAAGCAGGUUUACUGUUGAAGACAAUAAGUUUAACUGGAUUUUUAUAAAUACAAUGUAUGUAAAUACAGAUUUUUAUCUUCAUGUCCUUUAC